GACACCCCUUUCUGAGGUCUUUGUGGAUUUGGCCUCCCAGCUCUUCUUGAGGAGAUCCAGUGGGCCUUGGACAUCCCAGCCAUAGAGGAGUUUGAAUGUUCUAAAUCUAACAGGUGAAGGUGGAGCAGGUGGAGCAUCUGGAAAACAACAUCAAGGGAAUAAUUCUCCCAUUCCUCAAUAAAUACUUAAAUCAACAAACAUAUUGGAUUAUUUUCAGUUCUAUUUUUGUGAAAAAUCGUUCUUUAGAAAUGUUCUGGGUCAACAUUAAAGCGAAGAAACAUCUGCUGCAGCAGAAUCAGGCGUUCCGGACGCCCGGCGCCAUUUCCACGUUGAAACCAGGUCAGACAUUUUUCCUGACUGUUUCCGUGUGUUCCUCCAAAACACAGAAGGUCCAGCAUGAAGGAACAUCUGCUAAACUAAACCAAACUUUAGCAGAAGAUGGGGAGACUCAAUAGAUUAUUUUGAUCCACAUAGAAACACGAUGUCGGUAAAAAGAACUAAAAUCAAUCAGGAAACAAUCAGUUUUUUUCAGUUUCUCUUCCUGUUGUGUCUUUACUGCCUUUUUAUGUUCAUGUGAUGCAAACAAAAAGACGUCCAAAUGAAAAUUUAUUUAAAAUAUAAAAUUAAGGAAACUAUUAGAAUUGAAUACAAAGUAAAAGUUUGUUUAAUAGUAACUCAUUGUGUCUGUUCUACUGUUCUUUUAUUCUCUUAUUUUAAUUAUUGUAUUUUUUUCUCCAUCGUUUUUGUUACAGAGAAGAGCAGCAAGAAUUAUUCAUAAAAAACGCAGAAACAUGCCAAUCAUUUGUUUGCAAAAUCCCAUCUGCUUAAAUCCCUGCACUUAUGUUAAAAGCCAAAUUAAAAACGUUACCAGAUAAUAUUCAGUCUUUCUUUAACCCAGCUUCAUAAGACGACUCUAGUAAAAGGAAAGAUCUUUUUAAAGUUGCUUUUGUGCAUAUAACUCUGAGGUAGAGUCAUAUUUCACUUGGAGGCAUUUGAAUUUGUGAAUUUGCAUUUGUGAUCAUCAGUAAGAAUGACCUACAUUACUUUGUCUCGUUUCUUGUUUCUCAUUGUUAAUUUGUGAUUGGUAGAUAAUAGAAGAUGAAUUUCUUCUGUCUGACUCCGAUUGUUCAUGUCCUUUUUCUUUCUAUUUUGGAAAUGUUACUUAAGCUGGCAUGAACAAAGAACAACAAUAAACAUCUAAAAAGUG